rnacentral:rRNA from 1 species
UACGAAGGGGGCUAGCGUUGUUCGGAUUUAUUGGGUUUAAAGGGUGCGUAGGUGGCUGAUUAAGUCAUGGGUGAAAGCCCGCAGCUCAACUGUGGAAUUGCCUGUGAUACUGAUUAGCUUGAGUGCGGUUGAGGCAGCUGGAAUUGGUGGUGUAGCGGUGAAAUGCAUAGAUACCACCAGGAACACCGAUUGCGAAGGCAGGUUGCUAAGCCGUAACUGACACUGAGGCACGAAAGCGUGGGGAGCAAACAGG